rnacentral:rRNA from 1 species
UACGUAGGUGGCAAGCGUUGUCCGGAUUUACUGGGCGUAAAGAGCGCGCAGGCGGUCGUUCAAGUCGCGUGUGAAAGCCCCCGGCUCAACUGGGGAGGGUCACUCGAUACUGAUCGACUCGAAGGCAGGAGAGGGUAGUGGAAUUCCCGGUGUAGUGGUGAAAUGCGUAGAUAUCGGGAGGAACACCAGUGGCGAAGGCGGCAUCCUGGACCGGUAUUGACGCUGAUGCGCGAAAGCCAGGGGAGCAAACGGG